rnacentral:rRNA from 1 species
UACGUAGGGUGCAAGCGUUGUCCGGAAUUAUUGGGCGUAAAGAGCUCGUAGGCGGUCUGUCACGUCGGAUGUGAAAACUCGGGGCUCAACCCCGAGCCUGCAUUCGAUACGGGCAGACUAGAGUUCGGUAGGGGAGACUGGAAUUCCUGGUGUAGCGGUGAAAUGCGCAGAUAUCAGGAGGAACACCGGUGGCGAAGGCGGGUCUCUGGGCCGAUACUGACGCUGAGGAGCGAAAGCGUGGGGAGCAAACAGG